rnacentral:rRNA from 1 species
AGCAGCAGCCGCGGUAAUACGUAGGUGGCAAGCGUUGUCCGGAAUUAUUGGGCGUAAAGGGCUCGCAGGCGGUUUCUUAAGUCUGAUGUGAAAGCCCCCGGCUCAACCGGGGAGGGUCAUUGGAAACUGGGAAACUUGAGUGCAGAAGAGGAGAGUGGAAUUCCCCGUGUAGCGGUGAAAUGCGUAGAGAUGUGGAGGAACACCAGUGGCGAAGGCGACUCUCUGGUCUGUAACUGACGCUGAGGAGCGAAAGCGUGGGGAGCGAACAGGAUUAGAUACCCCGGUAGUCCCUGUCUCUUAUAA